rnacentral:rRNA from 1 species
UAUAUCGGAACCGUACCCUAGAGUGGGGGAUAACGUAGCGAAAGUUACGCUAAUACCGCAUACGCUCUCACUGGAGGAAAGCAGGGGAUCGCAAGACCUUGCGCUCAUGGAGCGGCCGAUAUCGGAUUAGCUUGUUGGUGGGGUAAAAGCUCACCAAGGCGACGAUCCGUAGCUGGUCUGAGAGGACGACCAGCCACACUGGGACUGAGACACGGUCCAGACUCCAUACGGGAGGCAGCAGUGGGGAAUUUUGGACAAUGGGGGCAACCCUGAUCCAGCCAUGCCGCGUGUGUGAAGAAGGCCUUCGGGUUGUAAAGCACUUUUGUCCGGAACGAAACGGCGGAUGCCAAUACCAUCCGUUAAUGACGGUACCGGAAGAAUAAGCACCGGCUAACUACGUGCCAGCAGCCGCGGUAAUACGUAGGGUGCAAGCGUUAAUCGGAAUUACUGGGCGUAAAGCGUGCGCAGGGCGGUUUCGCAAGUCAGAUGUGAAAUCCCCGGGCUUAACCUGGGAACUGCAUUUGAAACUACGAG